AUUGAACGCUGGCGGCAGGCCUAACACAUGCAAGUCGAGCGGAGCGGCGGACGGGUGAGUAAUGACUAGGAAUCUGCAUGGUAGUGGGGGAUAACGUCCGGGAACGGGCGCUAAUACCGCAUACUAUCAGAGUAGCCUAGGUCGGAUUAGCUAGUUGUUGGGUUAAAGGCAUACCAAGGCGACGAUCCGUAACUGGUCUGAGAGGAUGAUCAGUCACACUGGAACUGAGACACGGUCCAGACUCCUACGGGAGGCAGCAGUGGGGAAUAUUGGACAAUGGGCGAAAGCCUGAUGCAGCCAUGCCGCGUGUGUGAAGAAGGUCUUCGGAUUGUAAAGCACUUUAAGUUGGGAGGCGUUACCAACAGAAGAAGCACCGGCUAACUCCGUGCCAGCAGCCGCGGUAAUAC
rnacentral:rRNA from 1 species